rfam:Danio rerio chromosome 14, GRCz11 reference primary assembly.
GCUGGCUGCUAGCUCUCUGAAACUCUCACAUGGUCGCCAACUGAAGCUAAGCAGGGCUGUGCCCGGUCAGUACCUGGAUGGGAGACCACAUGGGAAAGCUAAGUUGCAGCCGGAA